GAGGCUCCAAACCCUAGCCACACACGACGCAACGCAACGCCGAUGGGGUGCGCGCAGGGCAAGUGCUGCCUACGGCGGCACCCGAGGAGGGGCUCCGCCGCUGCCGCCGUUGGCGGCGGCGCCACGCUCGGCCGCGCCGCGGUGCCCGGGGCCGGGCUGGUACUGGAGUACGCCGCGCUGGCUGUGGCGGGGCUGUACCCGGACUCCACAGCCCGGGAGUCCCAGGACGCGCACCUUGUCGCCACGCGCUUCGCGGGGGACCCGGACCUCCACCUCUUCGCUGUCUUCGACGGUCAUGGCACUGCCGGCACCGCCUGCGCUGGGUUCGCGCGGGACGCGCUCCCGCGCCUCCUCGCGUCGCUCUCCCUCGCCAGCGCCGCCGACCCCACCGCGGCGUUCCGCGAGGCCAUGCUGGGCGCCAACGCCGAGAUGCACGCGGCUCCCGAGGUCGACGACUCCAUGAGCGGGACCACCGCCGUGGCCGCCCUCGUCUCCGGCGGCGCUCUCCACGUCGCCAACGUCGGCGACUCGCGCGCCGUCGCCGGGGUCUGGCGCGCCGGCCGCGUCGUCGCCGAGGACCUCUCCUGGGACCAGACUCCGUUCCGCGCCGACGAGCGCGAGCGCGUCAGGGCCUGCGGUGCCCGGGUCAUGUCCGUCGAACAGGUGGAGGGCAUGCGCGAUCCGGAGGCCGAGCGCUGGGCGCCCGACGAGGGGGACCCGCCCCGCGUCUGGGCGCGCGACGGCCUCUACCCCGGCACAGCCUUCACGCGCAGCCUCGGUGACCUCGCCGCCGAGGCCAUCGGGGUCAUCGCCGAGCCGGAGGUCAAGAGCGUCGAGAUCACUCCAUCGCACCUCUUCUUCGUUGUCGCCAGCGAUGGCGUGUUCGAGUUCCUCUCCAGCCAGGAAGUUGUUGACAGGGUUGCCACGUAUCAAGAUCCUCGAGAUGCCUGCUCAGCAAUCGCUGCAGAGUCAUACAAACUAUGGCUGGAGCACGAAAAUAGGACAGAUGAUAUAACGAUAAUCAUUGUGCAUAUCCGAGACAUGGAAAGUGCCCUGCAGGGAGUGACAAAGCGGACUACGGUAGCGUGGGAGCGUCAAUAGCUGUGCACGCAAUACAGUCAGAGAAUAUCAGAUGCUUCCAAGCCCGUGCAAAGCGAGCAGCGAGCUGCAUCACAACCGGUGCAAACUUGGCAUCAAAUGGACGGGGGUACUGGAUUGGUCUAUGCAGCAAAGCAUCCCACCUCCAACCUCCUGAUGAAAGUGGAGAAUGGAAGUUGAAUGACAAAAGGAGGCCUCGCAAUAACCCACCGCCAUCCUCCAGAGCUACUAACCGUACAAUGGAUGUGAUGUCUGCCAGCAGCAAAUCUCGUGUUGCUGCUCUUGUUUUGGUAGAGCAUCUGCUGCUGCCGACGAUGCAAGGUUUCUGAUCCUGUGUGGGAUCUAGCCAUGAGCAAGGUUUCCGUGGAAUGGAGUGUAGUUAGGUGGGUGUCAAUGUAUGUUUGGAGCUAAACCCAUAUCUGCGAUCAUUUUAGUUUAUUUUUGUAAUUUAAAUGUCUUGGGUCUGCCUGGCACGAUUAUACUGACAGAACGUGUUUAGAUCUUGCUCGUGGCCUACCGUGCUGGUCUGACCCAAAUCGUGCUUUAGGUACUUUACUGACAAUGACAUGAUUCGAGAAGAAAAAUGACGCUUCUAU